rnacentral:rRNA from 1 species
UACGUAGGGUGCAAGCGUUAUUCGGAUUCACUGGGCGUAAAGGGUGCGCAGGCGGCCGUGUGUGUUAGGUGUGAAAGCCCGAGGCUUAACCUCGGAAUUGCGCCUAAAACUACACGGCUAGAGUAUUGGAGAGGGUAGCGGAAUUCACGGUGUAGCAGUGAAAUGCGUAGAUAUCGUGAGGAACACCAGAGGCGAAGGCGGCUACCUGGACAAUUACUGACGCUCAGGCACGAAAGCGUGGGGAGCAAAAGGG